rnacentral:misc_RNA from 1 species
UGCCACCAGAAAGAACCCAAAUAGAUAAAGCUUUUAUAAAUGUUGACGUUGAUUUUGCAGGACCAUUUGACGUCAAAGCAUAAAGUGGCAGAACUUGUAAAAUAACGAAAGGUUACGUUUGUGUUUUUGUUUGCUUUGCAACAAAGGCCAUCCACUUGGAGCCAACAUCUGAUUUGUCUACCCAAGCCUUUAUGGCAGCCUUCGCUCGAUUUUUUUCGAGGCGGGGAUGCCCUGUCGCCAUUUACUCUGACAAUGGAACAAAUUUCAUAGGUGCUAGCAAGUUAUUGAAAAAGGAGCGACAGGAAUUUAUUAAACAGCUAAAAGGAUCUGUUACGUCCACUAGCAGUUUUCAGAAUUUGACGUGGCAUUUUAUACCCCCAGGUGCACCACACAUGGGCGGUUUAUGGGAGGCAGGAGUUAAAAGCUUUAAAGCUCAUUUAAAGAAAAUAAAUACCCUAAAAUAUACAUUUGAAGAGCUAGCUACACUCCUUGCCAGAAUAGAAGGAUGCCUAAACUCGAGACCCUUAAGCCCGUCAAGUGAAAACCCUCAGGAUCUUAACCCGUUAACCCCUGGACACUUUUUAAUUGGCUCACCCAUACUUACCCCUGCAGAACCCGACACAAGCAGUGAUAAUAUAACCCUGGCUAACAGAUGGCAAAAAUUAAAGAUACAACAUCAAAACUUUUGUAAAAGAUGGAAAGAUGAAUAUCUUAAAGAGCUCCAUAAAAGAUAUAAGUGGAAAAACCCUACCCGAGAAGUUGAAAUAGGUGAUAUUGUAGUAAUUAGACAAGACAAUUUAGCACCCAAUGAAUGGUUACUUGGACGUGUGACUAAAACAUACCCUGGUUCUGAUGGUAGAAGUAGAGUAGUUGAUUUACAAACUUCAACUGGAACUCUAACACGACCAAUCACUAAAAUUGUUGUUUUACCCGCUAAUUAGUCUAAUACUCUACUCUAAUACUAUUUACUCAAACCCUAACCCAAAAUAACAAUAUCAUCACUAACUAGCUCAACUAACCACCCUAACUAACCCAAAUUUAUUAUGAAUCGUUUAACCCUUCACCCUAACCCACUAACACAUUCAUUACACUUCAUUCAUUCACACAUAAUUUCUUUUAUACAGAAUAUGGCACCCAACAACAACAACAAUCGUAAAGGACGUUCCAACCGUUCCAGCCGCAAUGGAUCUCGGCCCAAACCCAACCGCAAAAAUGAUAAACGUCAACCAAAACGCCAUUUUGGUUGAGGUAUUUGUCAAGCCGAUCACAGCUUGACAAAUUGUCGAAAGUUCCAAAAGAUGAACUUGGCGGAGAAGUACAAAACCGCAGUUAAAUUGCACUACUGCGUCAAUUGUUUGGCGAGGAACCAUCUCAUUGGCGGUUGCAUGAGUAAGGCUCGUUGCCAACAAUGUGGUGGUAAACACCACUCCACCCUGCAUGGUCCAAAUAGGAUUUUAAAGAAUUUAACCCAGGACCAAUCCCCUCCACCAACUCCGGCACCAAGAACUCCACCCACACCAGCUCCAAGACGAUCAUUAGACAUCGUGAAAGUUACAACACCGGUAACAACGUCGAUGAUGAAAACGUUUGUUCCUACAGCAGUUGUGCAGGUAGGAAGUCUGCGGGCAAGGGCAAUACUAAAUCCUUGCUUGACUAAGUCUAGAAUAGCAGCCGUCUUUGUUAGUGAAAGUUCCCUAGCUCCCUUCAAAAUAGACAAAGAGGUGUUUGUGAAGGUGCUAAUUGCACCAAAUUAUUCCUCAAGCCUCCGAUACGAGGUUUGCAUGGAGGUGGUUAAGGAUCUGCCAAAAACCCCAUAUCCAAGCCCCAUGGACGAAACAAUUAAAAGUAAAUUGUGUCGCAUAUCGCUGGCUGACCCGGAGUUUUACUCCAACAACCCAGUCUCCAUGGAAAUUGGUGGAGACCUUUACACAAGCAUCCUACAACCAAAUGUGAUUCACAUUGACGGGGGAUCACUUAUAGCCCAGGAUUCCACCCUUGGUUGGCUGGACAUGGGAUCAUCUACCCAAUAAACACCCACACAAUAAAGUUGCAGGCCCGGGAGGAUGUUCACAUCAGUGAACAAUUGAACGUUACCAUCCCUGAAGUCCAAUAGCACCCACACCAAACUGCAGCCAACUUCAUUUUUAUACGAACGUCAGCUGCAGUUUUUGCCUUUUUACUUACUUCUAAUCAACCUGGCUUACUACCAACAAGUGUGUGCGCUACAGCGAACAAAACAACAAACCCUACAACAGCAAAUCAAAUUUUAAAGUUAAACAAAUAAAUAAUAAACUUAAAUUAUUAAAACUAAAACUAGUGGUAAAACUUAAACCAAGUAUUAAAACCCUAA